UGAGAAAUGGAGGGCAAAAACAUGGUGGAGUCGGAGGAGUUGGCCCUAAACGUGGUUUUCUUGUUUCAGCGCUCUUAACACUGACAAGUCUGGAGUCACCACAGUGGAGUCCCUUUGGAUUUACCCCGGGCCAGGUUUAUACCACAUCCAGAAGGUCAGCUUAAGAUGUCCAGGGGCUUCAGAAAGGAGGUCAGCAUCAUCUUCCCCAUUUCAUAGAUGAGUAAACUGAGCAGAGAACUUGGACGGGAGAAGGAAAAGGUUUCUCCUUGGAACUGAUGCCAAGAAAAUAGAAAUGAGGUGACUCCUAAUCUGCAGUGCUGUGAGUGAAUGGAGAACCAAGGCCCUCCCCUCUCCUACCCUCUCUUCUCCCCUCUCCCGCAUCCUUUCCCCAGUCUCACCAGAGUUCAUUCCCCACUCCCCCAGUUUUGUUAA